AAGAUUCAGCGGAAGCAACAAUAUCUGAGUACAGACAUAAGUUAAACAAGACUGCCUUAAGAAGGCUAGCACAAAAGAAAAACGAUCGAAGAGGCAAGGCCUCCUGCCUGGGACCUCCUAACUACUCCUAGUCUUCGGCGGCCUCCAUGUAGCAGCAUCCGUCGAUGGUGGCAUCUGGCUCCAGGGAUCCACCAUCUGGUUGCAUCAACCGGAAAGGAGAAAGAAGGGGAAAAUGGGUAGCAAAGCAACCGUGAGUACUCAUCCAAAGUACUCGCAAGCAUCAGAUCUAUACUAAGUAUGCAUUGGUAUCAAAUGAAAGGGUUGUAUCUGUGGACUGGACUGCAGAAUGCCAGAAUAGAGGGGGAAGGCCUAGCCUAUCGAAGACUAGCAUCUUCAAGCAGCUCCGAGCAUCUUGCAGCAUGUAGAAGAGUAAAGAAUAGCAGUUUAUUUAACAAACAUGUUGUAACAUUAAUGCCCAGAGAUCCUUCCUCGACUCCCUGCGAGAAAGCAAUCUCGGAGCCACAUAUCUCAAGUAUCCAUUUGUAGUUGUAUAAGAUCAGGAUAUAAGUCUCAACGUCCAUUACCAUGGACACGGUAUUCGAAUAUAUAACUUUCCUGCAGGGGUGCACCACGUUACCCAACACGCUCGAUCACUCUGGCCAGACACACCUUUCUGGGGUCAAUGCCCGCCCUCGGAAGAUCAACACGUCGCAGCCCGACCUAGGCUCAGCAGAGAGGUCCCCGCCGGUCUACAUCCUAAGCACUCCGGGGUCUUGGGCCCAUCGCCCGCAGCACUCCGGGUCGUUGCGCGCAGGGUGAAUACCAGCACCGCCUCGGAUGGCCAGCACGAUCUGACCGUGCCGCACUGCUGAACUGGACGUCUGACAAAGCUUCGGCUGAUACUGCGACGUCGAGGCCCAUAUCUAUUCUCGCGUGGUGGUUAGUGCGUAAAGGCCAGAGGCCAACUCAGAACAAAUACCCAAACCAUAGUGUAUUAUUAGCUUGCGGAGACGAGCAGAGACUCACGAUCGAAAGUGACCCCGUCGCCCCAUCUCGUGGACUUACGGCAAGGGCUCAGAAUGCCCGGCCGUGCCACGUCAUUAUCUUGCGGGUGCUCUCCAGGCCCGCCCGACUUUCACCAAGGUCUCAAGUAAAGUCAAUUGUAACCGUGUGUCCAGUCAUCAAGGGGAAAAUCCGAGGAAUCACCCCCGGGGAUUCCACUCAAUGUAAUCAUCAAGGUGAAUGUAAGAGGGACCACCCUCGAGGUUCACUCUUGAGGUGUUGAAUGACAGAGCCGUAUCGGGAAUGGUGAAAGAGGAAAUCACCCUCGAUGACCACGACCGAAUAGCUACACUACAGAAUUAUCAUCAGGAGUGCGUUAUGAGGGAUGACCCUCGGCACUUGAUAGUAGCUCCGUAGAGUCGAGCAACAAAAGGGGCGUGAUGUGAUGUGAGGUGUCGGGCUCUGAUCCUCGAUCACGCUGAUUGAGUCGUCGAUGAUGAAGCAGGGACAACAAGGACAAGUACUGGGGGUCACUGAUGGAUCACUAACCAACCUAUACUAAGCAGUUUAAAAUAAGCAGGUAGGUAUCAACAUCAGGUACAAAAGCAGGCUAUGCAUCAGAAUAGGAGCAAACAAUAACAGUAGCAAAAUCUAAUGCAAGCAUGAGAGAAUAGAAUGGGCGAUAUCGGGAUGAUCAAAGGGGGGGCUUGCCUGGUUGCUCAGACAAGAAGGAGGGUCGUUGUCGACGUUGUCGAUCACAGGGGCAUCAGUGGCGGCCUCGAGGUCUACCGGAGAAGAAGAGGGGGAAGAAAGAGUAAAUACACACAAACAUAAGCAUAACAAAACAAUAAGCGGUGCUAGAGGUGUUCUAACGCAAUGCUACGCGAUACCGGUGAAGUGGGAUAACAUCCGGGAAAGUUUUCCCAGAGUUUGUCAUUUUCGGACAGACGAAACGGAGGGGGAAAGUCUCAUGUUCGCUAUGAUAGGGCACGUGACAGAUGAACGAAGAGCGUAUUCGAAUUCGUCUCGUUGUUCUGAGCAACUUUCAUGUACAGAACUUUUUCAUCCGAGCUACGGAUUAUUUUAUAUGAUUUUCUAUAGUUUUAAUCAAUUUCUAAAAAUUUCUGGUUUUAUAUUAAUUUGUUUUAAUCCGAGUUGAUCAAGUCAACUUUGACUAGUCAAAAAGGAAGGGUGUAGCCCGCACGUCAUAGGUUGUACCUAAACAAUAAAAUAAAACUAAUCUAAUUGAAAGGGGCCCACAUGUCAUCUACACAUAUUCUAAUCAAGUACUCCCUCCGUCCCAAAAUUCUUUCUUUUAGAACAAAGACGUCAGAUGCAUCCGGCUUUAAAUUAAUAAAGCCCAACGGCAGCAUACCAAACCAAGUCUUAAUACAUCACCAAAAGCCCUGCCGUCCCAAAAUCUUGUCUUGGAUUUGGCUAGAUAUGGAUGUAUUUAAUACUAAAAUCUGACUUGAUACAUCCGUAUUUAGACAAAUCUAAGACAAGAAUUUUAGAACGGAGGGAGUAAUCUAAUUAACCUAACUAUUGCUAGACUAAUCUAUCAGGGCCGGCCAUGCUGGGCACUAGUAUGUUGGCUGAACAUGGUAGGCACGCAUGCACGGGAGUGCACAGCGGCCAUGGCCUACGGUGGCAGCAGCAAGCAGUAGCCAAGAGCAACAGCGGUAGGGAUUAAGAGCAGCAGCGACAGGGAUUAGGAGCAGGGAGCAGCAGUAGUGGCAGCAUAGCAGCAGCGGCAGUAGGCGAGCAGCAGGCGAGUAGUAGCAAAGAAGAGCAGCGGCUAGUGACCGCAGCAACAACAGCGCUAGCAGCACAACACGCAAGAGACACAGGGCACGCGAGAGCGCAGGUGGGCGCGCGCAUGGCUCGGCCAGCCGUAACAGGAGCGAGGCACGUCCCGGCCAUGACGAGCACGGGCGUGGGCAGCGGCAGGUGCACGACGGCGGGUGUGGGCGUGCACGAGCGCAAGGGCGCGGCAGGGGCAUGCGUGUGCGCGCGGGAGGAGAGCUCCGGCCCAUAGUAGCCGGGUUCGCGGGUCGGUGGCGCGAUCCACGUCCCGGGGUCGAUCGACCCCGAUCGAGGGUCGGGGACGACGCCGGGUCGAGCUGGAUCGAUUGCUGGAUCACGACCCGGAUCGAUGGACGCUGACCCAGAUUGAGGUGCAAGAUUCCAAGAAGCCAGAAUGCAAGAUCGCUAGAAACACGUACGAAUCCAUGGGGAAUUGAUGCUUACCAGGCAAUGGCACUACAAAAUACUAAACUCUGCCCGUAGCCACCCUGCUGGAGUCCAACCUUCCACGAUCCCCUGCUCGCCUGCCGGAAUUCGAGCUGUCCGCCGCCGUAUGCGGCAUCUCCCGUCCUGCACUCCCGCUACCACCAUUGGUACGACCUUACGCGAGCUGCGAGCUACGAGCCGCUUGGAUUCCGACGCCGAUUAGGGAAGUUCGAGGCAGAAGAAUGGUGGGAAGGGCAAACAUGAGAGCACCGAGGCUGACGGUGGGAGGCUCGGAGCUUGAUCCUUGCCGGACUUGUGGUUUGAAGAUGGAUCGAUAGAGGACGAACUGGGAUUUAGGGAUAAUUGGUUGACAAACUCUUCGUGGGAAAGUAAUAAUGGCAGAUGAGAAAAAUCACGCCAUAAGGGCUGACUUGUGGCCCAUUUAGUAAUCUUUUUUGUUUUUCGGAAGUAUAAUGCGGGAUUUUUCCCUCUGCAAUAUAAGGAAAUACAUCAUUACAGAUCGUCAAGGGCAUUCUUUCCUUCCAACUUCAUCCCGAUUGUGUACCAUCGUACCGGGGUCAUCGACCCGAAGCCCUUUGGAUCGCGAUACCUGUCCCCGAUUAGCGUCCCGAAGAUGUAUACCCCUUGUCGAACCACGUUCCGGAGGGGUGUCGACCCUCGACCCUCGACCCCGUUCCUCGACCCGGGCGACCCGGAUUCCUGGCAACUAUGCUCCGGCCACGGCGGACUGCGGAGCCGAAGCUCACGGGUAACGGUGCUACGGCGACUACGGCAACAAGGGAAAGGGGGAAUGGGGUGGUGCUCACCGUGUGGACGCACGGAGGUCCGAUGGAGGUUUAGGAGCUGCAGAGCUCGUCGCAGACGGAGAAGACGCCGGGGUCGGAGGAGAACGGCGGCGGUCGGAGGAGGAAGAUGGAGUCGUAGUGGUCGCAGCUGUGCUCCCCGGCUCCAGUGGAGGGCACCAGAAGAUGGGCGGAGGCCGGCGGGAUCCGUGGACUUGAGCUGUGGACGCGGAGAGGACGGUGGCCGCGGUGGCGCAGCAGCAAUGGCGACGGGCGCGUCGGCGAGAGGCGGAUCUGGAGGAGUGGAGAGGCAGAGAGAGCAAGGAGGGGGCGCACUGGGA
rnacentral:lncRNA from 1 species